UACGGGGGGGAGCAAGCGUUGUUCGGAUUUACUGGGCGUAAAGGGCGCGUAGGCGGUCGUGACAAGUCACUUGUGAAAUCUCCGGGCUUAACUCGGAACGGUCAAGUGAUACUGUCGGGCUAGAGUACAGAAGGGGCAACUGGAAUUCUCGGUGUAGCGGUGAAAUGCGUAGAUAUCGAGAGGGAACACCUGCGGCGAAGGCGGGUUGC
rnacentral:rRNA from 1 species